rnacentral:lncRNA from 1 species
UUUUUUCUUUUUUUUCUUUUUUUGCCUUUUUGCCAUUUCUUGGGUUGCUCCCACGGCAUAUGGAGGUUCCCAGGCUAGAUGUCAAAUCAGAGCUGUAGCAGCCGGCCGAUACCACAGCCACAGCAAUGCGGGAUCCGAGCCGCAUCUGCGACCUACACCACAGCUCAUGGCAAAUCUGAAUCCUUAACCCACUGAGCAAGGCCAGGGAUCGAACCCGCAACCUCAUGGUUCCUAGUCGGAUUCGUUAACCACCGAGCCACGAUGGGAACUCCCUGCCUCCACUAUAUUCUUAUCCACAAUGCUCUAAACAGUAACAUCCCCCCCAAAAAAAACAAAAUAAAAUAAAAAAUAAACAGUAACAUCCUUCAAAAUUAUGCUCAAUGUUUUAGAUAGAUGGAUAGGGAUUGUGGAUGUACUUUAAAAAGACCCCAGCAAAGUCUGUGAAAGAUGCCUACAGUACCAAGAGCCCCAGGGACAGGUCUUUAGGGAUAAAAAUUACAUCUCUGUAGUCAUAGUCUUAUACAUACACGCCUAUUACAUGCAUAUAUUUAUGUACAGAUUUAGAUAACCUAGAAGAUAGCAAAAUAGCACACAAUUGCUUACCUACUAUGGCAAUCAUUAUUUACUUAUAUUGGCUAAUAAUAAGCAUGUUUAUGAUGAACUGAAAAAGAAAAGGUAUAAAGUAAAUGGCCUCCGAGCAAGAACAAAAGUCAAAAAUAUCUCAGAAUUUAAAGUUCAAAAGCCAAAUUCUCAGUUUAAAAAGGCUGGAAUUCCCAUCAUGGCUCAGUAUGGUUAACGAAUCCGACUAGGAACCAUGAGGUUGCAGGUUCGAUCCCUGGCCUUGAUUAGUGGGUUAAGGAUUCAGUGUUGCCGUGAGCUGUGGCGUAGGUUGCAGACGUGGCUCGGAUCCCGUGUUUGCUGUGGCUCUGGCGUAGGCCGGUGGCUACAGCUCCAAUUUGACCCCUAGCCUGGGAACCUCCAUAUGCCACAGAAGCAGCCCAAGAAAAAGACCAAAAAAAAAGAAAAGAAAAAAAAAAAAACCCUGCAGAACGCACAAUACCAAGAGUGACCAUGUUGCAAAUGACAGACUUUGGGUAAUUAUGAUGUAACUAUGUAAGAUCCCCAAUUGUAACAAAUGUAUCACAUUAACAUAAAAUGUCAAUAGACGGGGAUAUUGGGAGGGAGAGGGCAGGAGAAGGUGGUACAUGGGAACUGAACUUGAACUUGCUGUAAACUUGAGACUGAAAGAACAGUUUCUAUUAAAUUCUAUCCAUUUUUUUUAAAAAAAGAAAGAAAAGCCUAUUCUAUUCCUGUCUGUCAGAGCCAACGGUGCCUGGGAAGAGGUGCAAUAAACAGCUCGUGCUAAAGCUUAAAACAACAAUGUCCUUGGAUCAAGCUCAGAAAGAAAACAGCUUAUAAUUAAAAUAAAAUGUCAAAAAACACAAAUCGAGUUCCAUGGUAGACAAACUGAAAGCAGAAACAAAGGUAGCAAAAUCAGUAUUAGGGAAUAAAAGAAAAUUUCUGGGGAGGCCAGUUGGGAUGCUAUAACUUCCAAUUAACUAUCCAAAGGAAAAUUGUGCACUUGAAAAAGCAACUAUUUCUGAAGAGGAACAAAGGAAAUGUAAGCAAUUGCACGUUGCACAUGUUGAGAAAUACAAUAUAAAAGCAUCAUUUGAUGGGUUCAGAGCAAAAACACAAUUUGCUACACAAGGCAAGGAAUACCUCAAACUUCAUGAAUGUAGGAAUUACAUACCACACAUCAUUUAUAUCUGAUGAAAAUCAAACACCGUUUAAUAUUUAUUAAGGUAUUUUGCAUAUUUUCUUAUUUUAUAGUAACAAACCAAUUCUUCCCCUUUCUCCUUUGUUUCUUGGCCACCUAGUGGCAUAUGGAAUUACCAGGCCAGGGAUCAGAUCUGAACUGCAGUUGCAACCUACUGCUAGAUCCUUAACCCACUGUGCCAGGCCAGGAAGCCAACCUGUGUUCCAGCACUGCAGAGAUGCCGCCAAUCCCAUUGCACCUCAGCAAGAACUCCUUAACAAACCAAUUCUUAUUUCAAGUGAUACGCUGCCAAAUAACUGUCUUUGGGAGAGGGGGGAAGUGUCCCGAUUUGUAGCAAUACUUAUUUCCAUCAUGGCUGACUUCAAUCCAUCUAUAACGUAACAACCAGCUGGUAAAAUUCCUGCCAGACACUAGAUCCAAAACACCACUUCAAGUAAUUGUUCAUUUACGACAAGGAAACUGGCUUCUAAUUAAAGUCAAUUGUCAGAUGUGAAUGGAAUGUGAACUCAGGUCCUCAGUUUUUAAGAACUUUCAGAUCAAUGGCUUUAUUUCCUCCAUAACAGACAGAUUUUGAUAUAUUUGGGUUUUUUCCUCCUUAAAAGUCCGUAUUAUUAACAUACUAUUUGCUUGGAAUAACUAUUUCCCAAAUGAAAUAUUUUGGUUGUAUCUUCAAAUUCAUUUACACAAAAUGGGCUAACAAGAAAAGGCUUCACCAUUUUGAUCAGACAUAGAUUUAUCUAUAUUUUCUUUUAACUCUUUUUUACCUAGUUUUAUUUAGUCCAUUUACCAUCUGUCCAGGAGUUGCCAUUGUGGCUCAGUGGGUUAAGAACCCAACAUAGAGUUUGUGAGGAUGUGGGUUCAAUCCCUGGCCUUGCUCAGUGGGUUAAGGAUCUGAUGUUGCUGUGGCUGUGGUGCAGGCCUGCAGCUGCAGGUCCUAUUCGACCCAUAGAGCCCAGCAACUUCCCUAUGCCACAGAUGUGGCCAUAAAAACAUAAAUAAAUAAACAAGUAAAUAUCUCCAGUUGGAAUAUGGGGUGUUAUACAAUAAAGAUUUUAUAAUUUUUCCUCAAUUCUGAAUCAAUUCUUCUUGGUAUCUUUACUAAAAUUUAGUCAUUGGCCUUGUUUACUAUCAUAAACUAAAUUCAUAUUCAUAUUUGAAUAUGUUUUCUAUGCUACUCAUUAAUAAUCAUUUUUGUAUCAAUAUCAUUUUUUAAUUAUUGUAGCUUUAUAAUAGAUUUUCUUAUCUGUUGGUACAAAUACUCCUGGGUUUACUCAUUAUCUUCAGUAAUUUCUCAUCUACUGUCAUUCACUUAUACUUCCAAGACUAUUCACACCCUCACAAAAUAAUUAGAAAACUGACAUCUUAAUUAAAACUUCUUAAUCUAGAACCUAGCAUAUCCUCACUAAUUUGUCUUCUUUCAGGUACCCAAAGAAAAAUGUACACUUUCCUUUAUAAGGGAAUCUAUCCAAUUCUUAUUCAUUCUAUUUCUAAAUACUUUUAAGUUUCUAUCCUGUGUGAAUGUAAUCAUUUUCCUCACUACCCAGUCCAACUUAUUUCCUUCUGGAUGAAUUUCAAUGGGUAGAAAAAUUAAGACUUUUGCUUGUUCUUUGGACAGCUGUUCCUAAAAUGUUUAUUUAUUCUAGUCUAAAUUGUUCCCAUUGAAAACAAUUUCUAAACAUAGAAGUCUUAUGACAUCUUUGGCACAUUUCCAAUGUUUUUUUUUACUUGAAAUCUACUACAGAAAUAUUGCUUAUUAUAAAGUUAAAGACAAAUGACCUAUCAAGUAAAAUACUCCAUCAUUCACUCAGCCAGAGUCUCCCUGCGGUUAUCAUUUUCCUGUGCUCUUUUGAACCCACAGAAGCUCAGCUAAGAAACUAUUCUAAGAAUUUAGAAAUAAUGUGGUAUUUUAAAAAUGGGCAGGGACCCAGGAGUCAGAAGAUAAGCGUCUUAGGACUUGAUUUGGCUACUUAGCAUCAUUAUACUCUUGGUCAAAUUAGUGAACCUCUCCAAGCUUUGCUUCUGCUCCAGAAAAUGAACAAGCUAUAGCUCAACCAUGGGUAUGGUAUACGAAGCAUCAGAAAGGUUGUUUUCAUUUCUCUUCUUCAUUCUUCUGCCCAUAAAAAUAUUCACUGCCAAUGAAAAACCUAUGGUGGCAAGCUUUUCUUCUCUGGCCAGACGUGAGCCUGGGUAUUAGCUCAGGAUCGCCCUAAAGUGAAAAUAUGACCACCAGAAUCCUCCAGCAAACACACCCAGCUGUUUUAUCCAGCAAAUACACCGAGAUCCAGGACCCGGUGGAGGUAAACAACCACAUAUGGUUGUGUAGCCAUUUUUCUUUGACUUCUAAGACAGCCAGCAGAAUCUAGGUGGGCUGAGCCCUCUCUACCCCUGAGGCUAAGGUGACGUCAGAAGCCCAAGAGCAAAAGGAUUUCCUAUUAAUAUCUUAACUGUUUACUAAGGAGGAGAGGCUCACAGAGGCUGAGCCUGCUUUCCCUUCUAUUACUCUUGGGAUUACACUUCAAAACUUAAGCUGUAUGGCCCACACUUAAUGAGGUGGCCAACGAAUAUAGCUGCAUACCUACUGGUCCCAGCAGCCAGAGACAAAGGAAAUAAAAAUUUACCAAAUACCAAGAGCAAAUAUCAUUAUAAGUUUCAAAAUACCAAAUUUAGUUCAAUUAAAAUAGAAACUAAACAGGGAGUUUCCCUGGUGGUCUAGCGGUUAGGACUCAGUGCUUUCAUGACCAGGGUCUGAGUUCAAUACCUCAUUUGGAAACUGAGAUCCCACAUCAAGCCACUGCACACUGUGGCAAGAAAGGAAGGGAGGGAGGGAGGAAGGGAGGAAGGAAAAAAGGAAAGAAGGAAGGAACUAGAGAUUGAUUCUUGCCUUAUCAUUCAACACCAUCCUGAAGGUUAUGGGAUAAUAUAAGUAAAUGCAGUAAUUCAAGAAAUACAAAUUAUUGUUACAAGUACUGGAAAUAAGACAUGAAAUUUCCUUUCUUUUUUUUUUUUUGGCUGUGCCCAUAGCAUGGAGGGCCAAGUAUCAAACCCACACCACAGCGGUAACCAGAACCACAGCAGUGACAAUGCCAGACCUUUAACCCACUGAGCCACCAGGGACCUCCUGAAAUUUCUUUGUUAGCUAGCAAUUAGCCUGUAGAAAUGAAAAUGAGUAAAAACCUAUUCAGAAAUAUAAAAUAGAUAGGAAUAACUUUAUUUUAAAAGUAUUAGGAUGUAUAUAGGGAAACUGUAAGAACUUCUUAAAGGACGUAAAGAGAAGAUAUGAAUGAAGGGAAGGACAUACUUGUAGAUAAAAGCACUUGUUAUUAUGCGUCAGUUCUCACAAAAUUAAUAUAUUAAUCCGUAUAAUUUCAAUUAAAUUUAAAUACUAUUUCGUUUGGGUUGUACUGGAUAAAAUUAUCUUAGUAUAUACCUGGAGGAAUAAAUACCAAAGAACUGCUAAAAAAUUUAUUUUAGAAGAAUACAUAGUACAGGACUGAUCAUCGUGGCUCAGUGGUUAACAAAUCCGACUAGGAACCAUGAGGUUGCGGGUUUGAUCCCUGGCCUCGCUCAGUGGGUUAAGGAUAUGGCGUUGCUGUGGCUGUGGUGUAGGUUGGCAGCUGCAGUUCCGAUUCGACCCCUAACCUGGGAACUUCCAUAUGCCAGGGGUACAGCCCUAGAAAAGACAAAAAGACAAAAAGACAAAAAAAAAAAAAAAUACAUGGUACAACCACUACGGAAAAAGUAUGGCGGUACCUCAGAAAACUGAAUAUAGAACUACCAUCUGAUCCUGGGCAUCUAUCUGGAAAAAACUUUCAUUCAAAAAGAUACAGGCUGAAUAUCAACUAUAAUAGAGAAAAUAAAAAUCUUAAAAAAGGAGUUCCUGUCGGGGCACAGUGGAAAUGAAUCUGACUAGGAACCAUGAGGUUGUGGGUU